GACGAACGCUGGCGGCGUGCUUAACACAUGCAAGUCGAACGGAAAGGCCCUGCUUUUGUGGGGUGCUCGAGUGGCGAACGGGGGAGUAACACGUGAGUAACCUGCCCUUGACUUUUGGAUAACUUCAGGAAACUGGGGCUAAUACCGGAUAGGAGCUCCUGCUGCAUGGGGGGGGUUGGAAAGUUUCGGCGGUUGGGGAUGGACGCGCGGCUUAUCAGCUAGUUGGUGGGGUAGUGGCUUACCAAGGCUUUGACGGGUAGCCGGCCUGCGAGGGUGACCGGCCACCUUGGUACUGCGGUACGGCCCAGACUCCUACGGGAGGCAGCAGUGGGGAAUAUUGCACAAUGGGCGGACGCCUGAUGCAGCAACGCCGCGUGCGGGAUGACGGCCUUCGGGUUGUAAACCGCUUUCGCCUGUGACGAAGCGUGAGUGACGGUAAUGGGUAAAGAAGCACCGGCUAACUACGUG
rnacentral:rRNA from 1 species